CGGGGCGAUAGCUUAAACUGGUUAAAGCGUUUUUCGCUUUUCACCAAGAGCGAAAAAAGAUUGCAGGUUCAAAUCCUUGCCGUCCCGA
rnacentral:tRNA from 1 species